AUGGACCAGACCUUCUCAAUGCGAAGACAUGAGAUUGUGGGCAGAUGGAGCAGUGGAGCUCUUUUUACAGAGAGACAAGUGUUUGCAGAGUUUGACAGGAUAGUCACCACAGAUCUGCAGACAGCAGAGUAACUUUAAUGGUGCUGUGGAUCUCUACACACCACACUUUGUCACAAUCUUCAAGUCUUCAAGAAGCAUUGGAGAGAAAUUGUAUGGGCUUAUGCAGCAAAUUAAUACAGAGGUAUGUGAUGUUGAUGAAGCCUGGGCACAAGUAUCUGUUGGGGACUGUCAUUGAUGAAGAACUUCUCUCUCUCUAACUCUCUGUCUACUGCCAUCAUUGUUGAGAGAGGUAUUGUAAUGGAUAAUCUGCAGAACCUGCCUCAGGCAAUUUGCAUCUAUUUUGGUCAGUCUUAUGCUUUAAAUUUGGAUUUCGCAAAAGAA